rfam:Peptococcaceae bacterium CEB3 CEB3_contig000056, whole genome shotgun sequence.
AGGAAUAAGAAGCUGAAUCCGGGUUUUUCGCCCGGAACGGGGGAUUUCCAUUAGUGGGGUGAAUCACACGCAGUGUGUAGGGCUUACACCUUAGUGCCCGAAUCCGUCAACUAACCUCGUAAGCUGAGAAAGGUGGACAU